rnacentral:rRNA from 1 species
ACUUUCAACAACGGAUCUCUUGGCUCUCGCAUCGAUGAAGAACGCAGCGAAAUGCGAUACGUAAUGUGAAUUGCAGAAUUCAGUGAAUCAUCGAAUCUUUGAACGCACCUUGCGCUCCUUGGUAUUCCGAGGAGCAUGCCUGUUUGAGUGUCAUGAAA